CACAAGAAACGAGACUGCAAGUCAAAUGCAGAAGAAUUUUGAGCUUACCCUCUACAGUGAGGUUUGUAAAAGCAUGGAUCCCACACUAGACGAUAUUGAGAGUGCCACGCAUGUACUGUGGGUCCAGGGGAUUGAUUUUCAACCGGUGUGCGAGGAAUGUGACACGUCACCCGACCAGGCAACGGCCAGUCAGGAAAAUCCCUCAUGCAGGUGCGGAAGCACGAAAGGACACGUCACCGGGCGAGUAGAUAGCAUCCCACUCGAAGCACUAGGAUGGCGCACGGCCGAGGAUAUACUUCAGCGCUACACUUUCACUAAAGAUCGGCAGCUAAUCACGAAGGGGGGGUUAGCGGGGCUAGUGAGACUCAGCGGUGGAAAAGGGUUAGGCCAACCCAACGUAUGACUCAUAA
rnacentral:misc_RNA from 1 species